rnacentral:rRNA from 1 species
AUUGAACGCUGGCGGCAGGCUUAACACAUGCAAGUCGAGCGGAGCGAGGGUGCUUGCACCUUAGCUUAGCGGCGGACGGGUGAGUAAUGCUUAGGAAUCUGCCUAUUAGUGGGGGACAACAUUCCGAAAGGAAUGCUAAUACCGCAUACGCCCUACGGGGGAAAGCAGGGGAUCUUCGGACCUUGCGCUAAUCGAUGAGCCUAAGUGGGAUUAGCUAGUUGGUGGGGUAAAGGCAUACCAGGGGGACGCUCUGUAGCGGGUCUGAGAGGAUGCACCGGCACACGGGGACUGAGACACGGCCCAGACUCCUACGGGAGGCAGCAGCGGGGAAUAUUGGACAAUGGGCGGAAGCCUGAUCCAGCCAUGCCGCGUGUGUGAAGAAGGCCUUUUGGUUGUAAAGCACUUUAAGCGAGGAGGAGGCUACUUAGAUUAAUACUCUGGGAUAGUGGACGUUACUCGCAGAAUAAGCACCGGCUAACUCUGUGCCAGCCGCCGCGGUAA